rnacentral:misc_RNA from 1 species
UAAUCCAAGAAUUUCACCUCCAACAGUUAAAUACGAAUACCCCCAACUAUCCUUAUUGUGAUUACUCUAGUCCAACAAACCAACAGCAUUGAACCAAGAGUCCUGUGCUAUUAUUCCAUGCUAUCAUAUUCACGGCGAUUGCCUGCUUGGAACACUCUCAUUUCCUCAAAGUAAAAAUUCAGAUCAUGUGGUCACACAGUGAAGUGCAUCCACCCUCCCUGAACGAAUGCGAGCAGAGUUCCGUGUAAUCUUCACUGGGAAGGACCGAAACCCGCUCACAGAUAUCCAACUACGAGCGUUUUAACCGCAACAAUUUUAAUAUACGCUAUUGGAGCUGGAAUUACCGC